GACAGAGGGGGCAAGCGUUGUCCGGAGUUACUGGCGUAAGCGAGCGCAGGCGGCCGAUUAAGUCAGAGGUGAAAGCCCGGGGCUACAACCCCGGGAAAUGCCUUUGAAAACUGGUAGGCUUGAAUGCAGGAGAGGGUCGCGGAAUUCUUGGUGUAGAGGUGAAAUUCGUAGAUAUCAGGAAGAACACCAGUGGCGAAAGCGGCGACCUGGCCUGACAUUGACGCUCAUGCUCGAGAGCGUGGGGAGCAAACAGG
rnacentral:rRNA from 1 species